GGGCCCAAACAUUGUUUCAGGAUCAUUUCUACAGUUUGUUACUAGAAAAGGUUUCUGAUUGUGUAGAACACGGGAAACCCAGAGGAGAGACACAACGUUCUCACCUGAGCAUGAAGCUUGGUCCUGGUGUUGCUUUAUUGGGACCACCAUUUGCCACUGAUGACUGCUCUUCCCUUCCUUUGGAGGAGUAAGAGGGUGAGGGCAUCAUCUGAGUGGU
rnacentral:snoRNA from 1 species